rnacentral:rRNA from 1 species
UACGUAGGGGGCAAGCGUUGUCCGGAAUCAUUGGGCGUAAAGCGCGUGUAGGCGGCUCGGUAAGUCCGCUCUGAAAGUCCAAGGCUCAACCUUGGGAUGCGGGUGGAUACUGCCGGGCUCGAGUCCGGAAGAGGCGAGUGGAAUUCCUGGUGUAGCGGUGAAAUGCGCAGAUAUCAGGAGGAACACCGGUGGCGAAGGCAGCUCGCUGGACGGUACUGACGCUGAGACGCGAAGCGUGGAGCAACAGG